CUGCGUUUCAUUAGCUAGUUGGUGGGGUAACGGCCUACCAAGGCGACGAUGAAUAGCUGGUCUGAGAGGAUGACCAGCCACACUGGGACUGGAACACGGCCCAGACUCCUACGGGAGGCAGCAGUGGGGAAUAUUGCGCAAUGGGGGAAACCCUGACGCAGCGACGCCAUGUGAGGGACGAAGGCUUUCGGGUCGUAAACCUCUGUCAGGAGGGAAGAAACUGUUUGAGGCUAAUACCCUCUUUCACUGACGGUACCUCCAGAGGAAGCACCGGCUAACUCCGUGCCAGCAGCCGCGGUAAUACGGAGGGUGCGAGCGUUAAUCGGAAUCACUGGGCGUAAAGCGUACGUAGGCGGCCUUGUAAGUCAGAUGUGAAAGCCCUCGGCUCAACCGAGGAAUUGCAUUUGAUACUGCUUGGCUUGAGUAUCGGAGAGGGUGGCGGAAUUCCCGGUGUAGGAGUGAAAUCCGUAGAUAUCGGGAGGAACACCAGUGGCGAAGGCGGCCACCUGGACGAAUACUGACGCUGAGGUACGAAAGCGUGGGGAGCAAACAGGAUUAGAUACCCUGGUAGUCCACGCUGUAAACGAUGGACACUAGAUGCCGGGC
rnacentral:rRNA from 1 species